GAUGAAGAACGUAGUGAAAUGCGAUAAGUAAUGCGAAUUGCAGAAUCCGUGAGUCAUCGAAUCUUUGAACGCAUAUUGCGCCCUUUGGCAUUCCGAAGGGCAUGCCUGUUCGAGCGUCAUUAUCACCCCUCAAGCCCCGGCUUGGUGUUGGGCCCCCGGUGGUCGCACCCGACCACCCGCCUCAAAGAUAGUGACGGCGUCCCAGAGGGAACCGGUACGAGGAGCUUUCACGAGCAUGUACGCGGGACGACUCUGUGGGCGACGGUCUUUUUUAACCUUAAUAUAUCAAGUGUUGACCUCGGAUCAGGUAGGAAUACCCGCUGAACUUAAGCAUAUCAAUAAGCGGAGGA
rnacentral:misc_RNA from 1 species